ensembl:lncRNA
CACAGUUUUUAAAUAACUUUAUAAUUUCCUGAUGGAUUUAGUUUGUGAAUAAAAAAGAAAAAAAUGAACAAAGUGUUUACAAUAAUAAACAAGGCAAAGUUGAACAGAACACAAUUUCUUUGUAAUGUCAUUAUCCAGCUGGCAACAUGACUCCAGUAAUCACACACAUCAGUUGAAGGCAGUAUGUGUGUUUGCAUCACAGAUACCACCAUUAGGCUGCUGCUACUGUUAUCAAAAGGGACUCAAGCUACAGUGGGCCAGUACCCAGCACUCCCUGGCUCCCCACUAAAGUGCAACAUGUGUCUUCUCAAAUGGGAGUGAAUCAAGUGCCCACCUGGGACAUCCUGACAAGAUGUGGCAGGGUCCUGGUCCUGCAGAAGGGCAGGCCGGCCUGACAGGUGGCAUGCGCCUCCUGCUAGGUCUCGCUGUUUCAGAUGGGUGCAAUACUGCUACGGCAUGGAGAGAAGGGCAGGCUGAAGUGCUCAUUCUGGCCUGGGGUGGGUUCUCUCACUUCAGCAUGGUUCAUUUCCUUUCCUGACCAUGGCAUCUCUGGGGCCAACAGAGUGAGUCUGAGCCUGGGAGAUUUGGGUUUAAAAAGCUUCAAGGGAAAGAAAUCUAGGGUCUGAGUCAGAGGAACCAAGUUCUGAGAACAAUUCAUUGCACCUGGAUUGCAGGCUCCAGGCUGGCCAGUGUUGGCCCCAUGGAGUGGUCACUGGAUGAUAUAGCACCAAGUGGGUAGGAAAAAGGUCCUGUGGCCUGGCAGGCAGGGGCCAAGGAGUCAAACCCAGCUGCCACACAAUACUAGGCACACUGGGUAUGGCCCAAGAUGGAGCAAGGGUAGUUCUGGGUCACCAACUCUGAAACCUUUACCCAGAGGUCCUGAGGAUGUAUGGGAGAAUCCUGGCACAACUGAGAGCCUCUGCGCCCCUAGAUUCUCAUUUCUCUUAUUCGGCAGUUGUCAGGCACAUCCAGGCAGUCACCUACCUGGAGUGUGGUCACUGUAUUCCCAAGUGGCUGGGCUGCCUGAUACCUCAGCCAAGGUAGGAGGGGGAGGAGUUUGGCUGCCCCAUAGCUUGAAUUUCUUUAUUAACAUGAUAUUGGUUUGCAUUUUAAAAACACAGAUUUUUUUUUUCAGUUCUACAGCUACUUUUUAAUGUUUUAGUAUUCUCAACAAAGGACACAAAGUAACUGCCCCAAUUCUCUGAAUCACACAGACAAUAUUGACAAGCAGAGAAACAAAAGAGGUGGGAUGGGAUAGAAAUUCACUCCCCCAAAUUAACCCUUAAAACCACUUCUCCCCUGAAAGGGGCAGCAGAAAAAAUACCUACAACAGGGUCACAGCACUCACCAAACAUAUUGAAAAAAAUCAGGAGACACUUGGUUAUAGUUUAACACUA